rnacentral:rRNA from 1 species
UACGUAGGGUGCAAGCGUUAAUCGGAAUUACUGGGCGUAAAGCGUGCGCAGGCGGUUGUGCAAGACCGAUGUGAAAUCCCCGGGCUUAACCUGGGAAUGGCAUUGGUGACUGCACGGCUAGAGUGUGUCAGAGGGGGGUAGAAUUCCACGUGUAGCAGUGAAAUGCGUAGAGAUGUGGAGGAAUACCGAUGGCGAAGGCAGUCCCCUGGGAUAACACUGACGCUCAUGCACGAAAGCGUGGGGAGCAAACAGG